rnacentral:tRNA from 1 species
GCCUGGGUGGCUAAGUCGGUUAAGCGGCUGACUUCAGCUCAGGUCAUGAUCUCGCGGUCCGUGAGUUCGAGCCCCGCGUCGGGCU